UACAGAGGUCUCAAGCGUUGUUCGGAUUCACUGGGCGUAAAGGGCGCGUAGGUGGCUUGGCAAGUUUGGCGUGAAAUCUCCGGGCUUAACCCGGAAAUGGCGUUGAAUACUGUUUGAGCUGGAGGUUUGGAGGGGGGACUGGAAUUCUUGGUGUAGCAGUGAAAUGCGUAGAUAUCAAGAGGAACACCAGUGGCGAAGGCGAGUCCCUGGACAACACCUGACACUGAGGCGCGAAAGCUGGGGGAGCAAACGGG
rnacentral:rRNA from 1 species